rnacentral:misc_RNA from 1 species
UCACGUCUUACGACGGCAGUUUCACUAGAGUUCCCAGCGUUACCUGAUGGCAACUAGUGAUGGGGGUUGCGCUCGUUGCGGGACUUAACCCAACAUCUCACGACAUGAGCUGACGACAGCCAUGCAGCACCUCGACUCUAGUCCCUUGCGGGAAAACCAUGUUUCCAGGGACUUACUACCAGUAGUUCAAGCCCAGGUAAGGUUCUUCGCGUUGCGUCGAAUUAAACCACAUGCUCCACCGCUUGUGCGGGCCCCCGUCAAUUCCUUUGAGUUUCAACCUUGCGGCCGUACUCCCCAGGCGGCUCAUUUAAUGCGUUAGCUACGGCGCGGAAGGGGUCGAUACCUCCCACACCUAAUGAGCAUCGUUUAGGGCUAGGACUAC